rnacentral:rRNA from 1 species
UAGGGAAUAUUGCGCAAUGGGCGAAAGUCUGACGCAGCAACGCCGCGUGUGGGAUGAAGCUCCUUGGAGCGUAAACCACUGUCGGGAGGGACGAACGAUCGCAACUCUAACAUAGUUGCGGUUUGACUGUACCUUCAGAGGAAGCUCCGGCUAACUCCGUG